GGACCUACGGGGCGCAGCAGUGGGGAAUAUUGCACAAUGGGCGAAAGCCUGAUGCAGCAACGCCGCGUGAAGGAAGAAGGCCUUCGGGUCGUAAACUUCUGUCCUUGGGGAAGAAGAACUGACGGUACCCAAGGAGGAAGCCCCGGCUAACUACGUGCCAGCAGCCGCGGUAAUACGUAGGGGGCAAGCGUUAUCCGGAAUUACUGGGUGUAAAGGGAGCGUAGACGGUUAAGUAAGUCUGGAGUGAAAGGCCGGGGCCCAACCCCGGGACUGCUCUGGAAACUAUUCAACUUGAGUGCAGGAGG
rnacentral:rRNA from 1 species